GACAGCAAUAUGAAGGCCAGGCUGAAGACUUUGCCGGAUUAGCUGAGAGGUGGUGCAUGGCCGUCGUCAGUUCGUACUGUGAAGCAUCCUGUUAAGUCAGGCAACGAGCGAGACCCACGCCCACAGUUGCCAGCGUACUCUCUGGAGUGACGGGUACACUGUGGGGACCGCCGCUGCUAAAGCGGAGGAAGGAAUGGGCAACGGUAGGUCAGUAUGCCCCGAAUAUCCCGGGCUACACGCGAGCUACAAUGGUUGGUACAGUGGGUAUCUACCCCGAAAGGGGACGGGAAUCUCCUAAAACCAAUCUUAGUUCGGAUUGAGGGCUGCAACUCGCCCUCAUGAAGCUGGAAUCCGUAGUAAUCGCGUUUCAACAGAACGCGGUGAAUACGUCCCUGCUCCUU
rnacentral:rRNA from 1 species